UACGUAGGGUGCGAGCGUUAAUCGGAAUUACUGGGCGUAAAGCGUGCGCAGGCGGUUCGUUAUGUCCGAUGUGAAAGCCCCGAGCUCAACUUGGGAAUGGCAUUGGAAACUGGCGGGCUGGAGUGUGGCAGAGGGGGGUGGAAUUCCACGGUGUAGCAGUGAAAUGCGUAGAGAAUGUGGAGGAACACCGAUGGCGGAAGGACACCCCCUGGGCCAA
rnacentral:rRNA from 1 species